AUGUCUAUCCGUCUCUUUUCAGUCUCUCCAUCUGUCUUUCUGUCUUUUUAUCUGUCGGUCCAGCUAUUUUCUAUCUGUCUGUCUAUUUAUCUGUCUAUCUGUCUCUUUUCUGUCUGUCUGUCUGUCUAUUUAUCUGUCUAUCUGUCUCUUUUCUCUGUCUGUCUGUCUAUUUAUCUGUCUAUCUGUCUCUUUUCUGUCUGUCUGUCUGUCUAUUUAUCUGUCUAUCUGUCUCUUUUCUCUGUCUGUCUGUCUAUUUAUCUGUCUAUCUGUCUCUUUUCUAUCUGUCUGUCUGUCUAUUUAUCUGUCUAUCUCUCUUUCUAUCUGUCUGUCUGUCUAUUUAUCUGUCUAUCUGUCUCUUUUCUCUGUCUGUCUGUCUAUUUAUCUGUCUCUGUCUCUUUUCUGUCUGUCUGUCUAUUUAUCUGUCUCUGUCUCUUUUCUAUCUGUCUGUCUAUUUAUCUGUCUAUCUGUCUCUUUUCUAUCUGUCUGUCUGUCUAUUUAUCUGUCUCUUUUCUAUCUGUCUGUCUGUCUAUUUAUCUGUCUAUCUGUCUCUUUUCUAUCUAUCUGUCUGUCUAUUCAUCUGUCUAUCUGUCUCUUUUCUAUCUGUCUGUCUAUUUAUCUGUCUAUCUGUCUCUUUUCUAUCUGUCUGUCUGUCUAUUUAUCUGUCUCUUUUCUAUCUGUCUGUCUGUCUAUUUAUCUGUCUAUCUGUCUCUUUUCUAUCUGUCUGUCUGUGUAUUUAUCUGUCUCUUUUCUAUCUGUCUGUCUGUCUAUUUAUCUGUCUAUCUGUCUCUUUUCUAUCUGUCUGUCUAUUUAUCUGUCUAUCUGUCUCUUUUCUAUCUGUCUGUCUGUCUAUUUAUCUGUCUAUCUGUCUCUUUUCUAUCUGUCUGUCUAUUCAUCUGUCUAUCUGUCUCUUUUCUAUCUGUCUGUCUGUGUAUUUAUCUGUCUCUUUUCUAUCUGUCUGUCUGUCUAUUUAUCUGUCUAUCUGUCUCUUUUCUAUCUGUCUGUCUAUUCAUCUGUCUAUCUGUCUCUUUUCUAUCUGUCUGUCUGUGUAUUUAUCUAUCUGUCUCUUUUCUCUGUCUGUCUGUCUAUUUAUCUGUCUAUCUGUCUCUUUUCUAUCUGUCUGUCUGUGUAUUUAUCUCUCUUUUCUAUCUGUCUGUCUAUUUAUCUGUCUAUCUGUCUCUUUUCUAUCUCUCUGUCUAUUUAUCUGUCUAUCUGUCUCUUUUCUAUCUGUCUGUCUGUGUAUUUAUCUGUCUAUCCGUCUCUUUUUUUAUCUCUCCAUCAGUCUUUCUGUCUUUUUAUGUCUCUCCAUCUAUUAUCUAUCCCUCUAUCUGUCUAUCGGUCUCUUUUCUAUCCGUCUGUCUAUCUAUUUAUCUCUUUAUCCGUCUCUUUUUUUUAUCUGUCUAUUUAUCUGUCUGUUCGUCUGUUUUCAAUCUCUCCAUCUGUCUUUUUAUCUGUCUGUCCAUCUCUUUUCUAUCUGUCUGUCUGUCUGUCCGUCUAUUUAUCUGUCUAUCUGUCUCUUUUCAAUGUCUUUCUGUCUUUUUAUUUUUUUAUGUCUGUCCAUCUAUUUUCUACCCACUGUCUGUCUCUGUCUUUUCAUCUCUCUAUUUGUCUAUCCAUUCAUCCAUCUUGAUCCUGUUAGCAGUGUUCACUGUCAGUUCAGUCAUCAAAUGGUAA
ensembl:lncRNA